CCUACGGGAGGCAGCAGUGGGGAAUAUUGGACAAUGGGCGAAAGCCUGAUCCAGCAAUGCCGCGUGAGUGAUGAAGGCCUUCGGGUCGUAAAGCUCUUUUACCAGGGAUGAUAAUGACAGUACCUGGAGAAUAAGCUCCGGCUAACUCCGUGCCAGCAGCCGCGGUAAUACGGAGGGAGCUAGCGUUGUUCGGAAUUACUGGGCGUAAAGAGUACGUAGGCGGUUAUUCAAGUCAGAGGUGAAAGCCCGGGGCUCAACCCCGGAACUGCCUUUGAAACUAGAUAACUAGAGUCUUGGAGAGGUUAGUGGAAUUCCGAGUGUAGAGGUGAAAUUCGUAGAUAUUCGGAAGAACACCAGUGGCGAAGGCGACUAACUGGACAAGUACUGACGCUGAGGUACGAAAGCGUGGGGAGCAAACAGGAUUAGAUACCCUGGUAGUCCACGCCGUAAACGAUGAUAACUAGUUGUUCGGUCACUUGGUGACUGAGUGACGCAGCUAACGCAUUAAGUUAUCCGCCUGGGGAGUACGGUCGCAAGAUUAAAACUCAAAGGAUUAGACGG
rnacentral:rRNA from 1 species